UCUGACUCCCUCUUCUGGAGUGUCUGAAGACAGCUCAGUGUACUUAUAUACAAUAAAAAUAAAUAAAUCUUAAAAAAAAAAAAAAAAAAAAAAAAAAGUGUUAAAGGACGCAGUCGCAUGUGCUGGGAAGGCCAAUUUGGGACUAGCCUAGGCUGUGCCUCUAUCACUAAUGUCAUCAGGAUUGCGCCCUUCUUGGGUUCUCCAUCCCAGAAUACUCAGAUGUUAGAGAGAAUAAGUAUUUAUGAAAAGGCCCUGCAGGCAGGCAAUGCCUGGAAUUUUGGUGGCAGUUUGCCUUUUCUGAAUUUCUUUUUUCUUUUUUUUUUUUUAAUCUCACUGAUUUGUGGAGUGCCCCUUGUGUUCAGGGUAAGAGAAGGACCCGGGUCUCUCUUUCCUUUUAUGUCCAGUCCAUCUGGUGCCUUUUUCUUGGGCUUUCCCCUCUCUGAUCUCAGUGCCUAACUUGAUAGAUUCUAUUCUUUCCUCAAAAGUGCCCGAGGAUUUCCAUCUGGAACGUCAAAGAAAUAAGCAGCUGUCUUGCUUGCCUCUUCUGUCCUUGAGUGCGCUGUCAGUGUUGAUUGCUGUGGUCAUUUGUUCUGGGAACUCCACCUUUGAGCCUUAUGCAGGCACACAGCAGCCCAAGCACUCAGGAUGCAGGCCAAUCUGUGAGUUUGAAGCUGGCCUGGUCUACAUAGCAAGCUCCAGGCCAGCCACACAUGGAGGCACUCUUUCAAAAAAGGUGGUGGACGGGCAGCUUGCUUUAGAAGACAGAAACACACAACACCUGAUGGAAGGCGCUUGCUUCUCUAGCUUACUCAGCAGCAGGAAUUCAGUUGUGUAACAACUGCAUGUUUAUUGUAGUGGCAGUGACCUAGGUAACUAGCCUGUCUGUUUCCUAGUGUCCUGGCCAGGGGCCAUUGCUAGGGGUGCUCACGAUGGCAUCUGCGAUAGUGUAGUCUAGGAUGUUCCAGUCUCCUAAACUUCCAAGUCCAGUCUGUGGCACUGUGGGGAAUCUGGGAAACCCCUAGUUACCUCUUAAGGCAGGGAAGGCUUCUUAAAAGUGGCGCUGAUGACAUUUUGGACCUCUGAGCUGUUGUGUGAGGAGGCUAUCCAGAGUGGUGUAGGAUAUUUAAUAAGUAUCCCUGGUCCCCACCUGUUAGAUGCCAGGAGCAGUCCCCCAGCUAGGACAGCUAAAAAUGUCUCUAACCAUUACUAGAUGUCUCUCAGGUUGGCAGUCCUCCAUUCUCCUCUGCCCUCCAGAGAUAUGUCGAGGACUUCUAAGGGUGAGCCUCAUGGGGUUUAUCCUCUCUUUUAGACUUUUUCUUCUCUUCUUUAGAUGAAUAGGUAUUUUGACCUAGCUUCCCUUUUCUGGGCAUUUCUUCUUGGACAAUCAAACUCUCUAGAUUUUAGCAUCUGCCCUACUACCAACCGGCAGCCAUCAUUAUGUCUGUUUCAGCUCGUUCCAGCUAAACUCUUGAUUAGUCCAACUGGAGAGCCUCCUAGAGGCAGUAACAUCUGAAAGAUGGUGGAGGACGCCUGAAGGCAAAGCUCUCAGAGGAAGUCAAUGAGAAAUAUUUCUACGAUGUACCAAUCCAUGGCCAGUUGCUAAGCACACACAUGAAGGUCAGAGAACUUCUGAGAAUCAGGUCUCUCCACCUAUGUGAGUCCCAGGGGUUGAUUUCAGGUCAGCAGGCUUAGCCAAAAGCACCGCACUGAACCAUCUUGCUGGCCCCAGGCCAGAGUCGUGAUAUCCAGCCCCUUGUUAGUCUCAUCUUAUCUUUACUUUUCCUUGGCUAGUCUGUCUUGUGUGUGUGUGUGUGUGUGUUUUGUUUUGUUUUUGUUGUUUAGUGAUUUGAUUUUGUUUUGUUUUUUUGAGGCAAGGUUUCACACACACAAAAAAAAUUCAGGCCACUCUGGACAGCUUCCCCAACCCCACCUAGAAACCCUGUCUCUUGCUCAGUUCUUUGCUAUUUCUUGUCCCCCAGCAGAGGCGCCUCUCCCAGUAAAUCUCUCCUGUGAGACUUGUUGUGAUGUGACUUUGUGGGUAUUCCCAGGCGCCUGAUUGCCAGGAUCUUUUUCCCUCUCAGAGCUGCAAUACCUUCACUGGAGACCCUUUCCCCCUCAGAGCCUGCUGGAACACUUCAUCCCAGAAGUUAAGAGCUGUUUGCUUGCCACGGAAAUCAAAUAAAUGUGACAAUGACAACUGUGGUCUUGUGCUGUUUUAAAGAUGACAAACCAGGCUUAUCAGCAAACAGUUGCUUAGCCAGCCCAGGAGCAGGAAGUGGCUUAUUGGAUAUGCAGGUCUCCCCACAGAGCCUUCAGCUCUGACCCCCUAAGAACAACUGCCUCAGACUCACAAGAAGCUCUUCCUAUGUAUGCCAUGAAAACCUUCUUCCUCUCAGUAUACACUUAGGUCCUUUCUCAGAUGUCCAUUCCAGCAUUUCUUUUUUUUAACGAUGCCCUGAUAUUCUACUGUUUGGAGGUAAUUUAUGUACCUGAUGCCUUACUGUGUUACUGUUUUCCCGUUAGAGAACUUUGUGAUGAAUGUCUUUGAAUACAUGUACUUA
rnacentral:lncRNA from 1 species